GUUUUUUUUUUUUUUUUUUUUAUAGCUUUUUUAUAUAGCACUUCUUUCAAGUUUAGCGCAUGCUCGGUGCACUAUUGUCCUAUCUCUCUAGUGGAAAAGAUGGGGUAGGGGGUAUCUGGGAGAAGGUUUCUGUGUUGCCUUUAGGCGCUCAGCAAGCACAACUCAUCCUGAGUGGGGCUUCCAACUAGAACCCCGUUAUUUGGUAGCUUAGUGGUUUGUUCCAUUUAGCCACUCCUACCCUGUUUUCAUAUAGCUGUGGUUGUAAAAAAAAAAAAAAAAAAA